rnacentral:ncRNA from 1 species
CUGACUGUUUAAACAAAGACCAAUAGCGGGUAUUGAUGUAAUGUGAUUUCUGUCCAGUGCUUUCUAUGUCAGAGAGAAAAACUCAAUGAAAGCAGGUAAAUGGCAGAGUAAUUAACUGUCUUAAGGUAGACAAAUGCCCCACCAUCUAAUUAGAGACAUGCAUGAACGAAUGAACAAG